rnacentral:rRNA from 1 species
GGGUAAUUAGGUUGGUCGUGCCACCGGUACGUACUGGUCUCACUGAUUCCUCCUUCCUGAAGAACCGUAAUGCCAUUAAUUUGGUGUUGCGGGGAAACAGGACUGUUACUUUGAAAAAAUUAGAGUGUUUAAAGCAAGCUAACGCUUGAAUACAUUAGCAUGUAAUAAUGAAAUAGGACGAUCGAUCCUAUUUUGUUGGUUUCUAGGAUUGACGUA